CACGCCGCCGCGGCUAUCCUGCCACCCAGAGAUGCUGAGGGAAUGGAGCAGGACAGGGCCUCCUGCAGAUGCUCACCUCAAGUAGUUGAGAGGGAAAAUCAUACAAAAAGGUCCUGUUCUAGAAAAUCAGAACAACAGACACAGUAAAGCACCCAACAGGCACUUAACAUCCAAUCCAGAAGAAGCAAUGAGAUCCAAGAUUACCACUUGGAGGGUUCUGAUUGAAGAGAGAAGAUACUAAUAAUGGAAAAGGUUUUGUGUUAUUUUUCAUUAAAGAAGAGAGACACUUGAAAUGUGUAAAGCAAAGAGAACCAUGGAGAUGAAAAACUGGAAACAUUAGAGAAAGAAAAAUUAACCCCUGGUAGAUACGAGAAUUAAGAUAGUGUUACAAUCAAAGGUUGCAAACUGAAUAUCAGUUUACAUUCAGGUUUGUUUUACAAACUCAGCCUUAUUAAACUCACUGGAGGUUUCAUAUUCUCAAGACUAUCCUCCUCCCAACACAAUAAGAAGGCAAGAUUUUCUCUUGCUUGUAACAUAUAAUUAUUGUGAGCAGUGUUUUGGUUUUCAUUUGCAUUCUUUUUUUUCUCUCCCACCUACUACUUGGAAUCAAGUGAAGCCAUCAGCCCAUGUCAUGUGAGAGAAAAGCACGCGUUGCACUCUGAGUGAUGGUUUUUCUGCCUCCUUCACCUCCCCUUGUAGAUCUCCAUCUCUACUUUUGGCUGCAACUCCAUAUUUGUCCCAUGCCUUCUAGUAUUUUUGCAUGGUGAGACCCACAUUUUUACUUGUUAAUUUUGCAAGUUUCAAGUAGAGCCUUCAUACAGUGAUGGGUACCCUUUCCUGCUUCUGGAACAUACAGAUAGUGCUGUCAUUUCUGCUUUAUUCCUGUCCUGACUUAAAAAUCAACAUGUUACUUUCUAGCUUUGGCUACCAUGAUUUCCAGGCAGCUCUGGAGAUGGGGGUAUUAGCAGAGACCUCUGUGUCAGGGAUCACUCAAAACAGAAGACUUCUAGGAGCUAAGAAUGAGCUUGUGCUGAGCUAAGAGUACCAUUCUAAUAUCAUAUAUUAACAUAGUUUUCUUAUACCACUCUCACUAGACAUCUGUUUUCUUCCACUGUUAAAUUUUGAAAUAAAAGUGCAUCAUUGCUAAAGCAAA